rnacentral:rRNA from 1 species
CUCAGUUCGGACUGUAGGCUGCAACUCGCCUACACGAGGCUGGAAUCGCUAGUAAUCGCGGAUCAGCACGCCGCGGUGAAUACGUUCCCGGGUCUUGUACACACCGCCCGUCACACCAUGGGAGCCGGUAAUACCCGAAGUCAGUAGUCUAACCGCAAGGAGGACGCUGCCGAAGGUAGGAUUGGCGACUGGGGUGAAGUCGUAACAAGGUAGC